rnacentral:rRNA from 1 species
GGGCCAGACUCCUACGGGAGGCAGCAGUGGGGAAUAUUGCACAAUGGGGGAAACCCUGAUGCAGCGACGCCGCGUGAGUGAAGAAGUAUUUCGGUAUGUAAAGCUCUAUCAGCAGGGAAGAAAAUGACGGUACCUGACUAAGAAGCCCCGGCUAACUACGUGCCAGCAGCCGCGGUAAUACGUAGGGGGCAAGCGUUAUCCGGAUUUACUGGGUGUAAAGGGAGCGUAGACGGUAGAGCAAGUCUGGAGUGAAAGCCCGGGGCCCAACCCCGGGACUGCUCUGGAAACUGUACGGCUAGAGUACGGGAGGGGCAGGCGGAAUUCCUAGUGUAGCGGUGAAAUGCGUAGAUAUUAGGAGGAACACCGGCGGCGAAGGCGGCCUGCUGGACCGAAACUGGCGUUGAGGCUCGAAAGCGUGGGGAGCAAACAGGAUUAGAUACCCCGGUAC